AGCAGCACAGGCCAGUCAGAGCAGCACAGAUGACAGGCAGCAGGAGUGCCAGGAGGAAGCAGUGCAGUGCAGGGCCGUUGGCGAGCGCAGGCAGCGGGCGCGCAGCAGCCAGGGGGAGCGGCCCAGGCCGGUCGAGCAGCGCACACCACCGGCAGCGGCGGUGGCCAGCGAGGGCAGGGCAGGCCAAUGGAGCACGGUGGCCCACGGAAGCCGCCCAGGCCAGCGGGAACAGAGCAGGGCAGCUGUGCGCAACGCAGGCUGCUCAGAGCAGCAGAGACGACAGGAAGCAGCGGUGGCCAGAGGGAGACGUGCUGGCUGAGGGUGCAGCGGUGGCCACGGGGAGCAGCGCAGGCCAACCGAGCCCCCGUGGCUUAAGGCAGCAGCAGCCCAGGCCAAUCGGAGCAGCGCACGUGAGCGUGUGCAACGCAGGUCGGAUGGAGCAGCACAGGCCAUAGAGCGCGGCGGUGGCCAGACGGUCAGCGAAGGCGGUGGGCGCAGGAGAGAUCGCGGGCGCAGCGCAGGCAGCGGGCCCACAGCGCGCAGCGGACGCUCAACAGGCCGCGGGAGCUCGGAAGCCAGCGGGCGCACAAAGGGCAGCGGGCACGCAACGGGCAGGGGGAUCUUCAAAAGGCAGUGGGAGCCCGACAGGCAGUGGGAGCAGCACAGGCCGGGCAGAGCAGCACGCAGCAUCGGCAGCAGCGGUGGCCAACGGGAGCGCGGCAGGCGAACGGAGCAUGGUGGCCUGAGGAAGCAGCACGGGCCAGUGGGAGCAGCGCAGGUCGAUCAGAGCAGCGAGGAUCACAGGGAGCGGUGGUGGC
rnacentral:lncRNA from 1 species